UGGGGAAUAUUGCACAAUGGGGGAAACCCUGAUGCAGCGACGCCGCGUGAGCGAAGAAGGCUUUCGAGUCGUAAAGCUCUGUCCUAUGAGAAGAUAAUGACGGUAUCAUAGGAGGAAGCCCCGGCUAACUACGUGCCAGCAGCCGCGGUAAUACGUAGGGGGCUAGCGUUAUCCGGAUUUACUGGGCGUAAAGGGUGCGUAGGUGGUCUUUCAAGUCGGUGGUUAAAGGCUACGGCUCAACCGUAGUUAGCCUCCGAAACUGGAAGACUUGAGUGCAGGAGAGGAAAGUGGAAUUCCCAGUGUAGCGGUGAAAUGCGUAGAUAUUGGGAGGAACACCAGUAGCGAAGGCGGCUUUCUGGACUGCAACUGACACUGAGGCACGAAAGCGUGGGUAGCAAACAGG
rnacentral:rRNA from 1 species